CCUGAUGCAGCAACGCCGCGUGAGGGAUGAAGGCCUUCGGGUUGUAAACCUCUUUUAGCAGGGAAGAAGCGAAAGUGACGGUACCUGCAGAAAAAGCACCGGCUAACUACGUGCCAGCAGCCGCGGUAAUACGUAGGGUGCAAGCGUUGUCCGGAAUUAUUGGGCGUAAAGAGCUCGUAGGCGGUUUGUCGCGUCUGCUGUGAAAAUCCGAGGCUCAACCUCGGACCUGCAGUGGGUACGGGCAAACUAGAGUGCGGUAGGGGAGAUGGGAAUUCCUGGUGUAGCGGUGGAAUGCGCAGAUAUCAGGAGGAACACCGAUGGCGAAGGCACAUCUCUGGGCCGUAACUGACGCUGAGGAGCGAAAGCGUGGGGAGCGAACAGGAUUAGAUACCCUGGUAGUCCACGCCGUAAACGGUGGGUGCUAGUUGUGGGUUCCAUUCCACGGAAUCCGUGACGAAGUUAACACAUUAAGCACCCCGCC
rnacentral:rRNA from 1 species